rnacentral:rRNA from 1 species
AUACGUAGGGGGCGAGCGUUGUCCGGAAUGAUUGGGCGUAAAGGGCGCGUAGGCGGCCCGGUAAGUCUGGAGUGAAAGUCCUGUUUUUAAGAUGGGAAUUGCUUUGGAUACUGUCGGGCUUGAGUGCAGGAGAGGUAAGUGGAAUUCCCAGUGUAGCGGUGAAAUGCGUAGAGAUUGGGAGGAACACCAGUGGCGAAGGCGACUUACUGGACUGUAACUGACGCUGAGGCGCGAAAGUGUGGGGAGCAAACAGGAUUAGAUACCCUGGUAGUCCACACUGUAAACGAUGAAUGCUAGGUGUAGGGGGACUGACCCCUUCCGUGCCGCAGUUAACACAAUAAGUAAUCCACCUGGGGAGUACGGCCGCAAGGUUGAAACUCAAAUGAAUUGACGGGG